UGGAAUUCGGCUUAGAGUUUGAUCCUGGCUCAGAUUGAACGCUGGCGGCAGGCCUAACACAUGCAAGUCGAGCGGCAGCACAAGGGAGUUUACUCCUGAGGUGGCGAGCGGCGGACGGGUGAGUAAUGCCUAGGGAUCUGCCCAGUCGAGGGGGAUAACAGUUGGAAACGACUGCUAAUACCGCAUACGCCCUACGGAGGAAAGGAGGGGACCUUCGGGCCUUCCGCGAUUCGAUGAACCUAGGUGGGAUUAGCUAGUUGGUGAGGUAAUGGCUCACCAAGGCGACGAUCCCUAGCUGUUCUGAGAGGAUGAUCAGCCACACUGGGACUGAGACACGGCCCAGACUCCUACGGGAGGCAGCAGUGGGGAAUAUUGCACAAUGGGCGCAAGCCUGAUGCAGCCAUGCCGCGUGUAUGAAGAAGGCCUUCGGGUUGUAAAGUACUUUCAGCGAGGAGGAAGGCGUUAAGGUUAGUAACCUUAGCGAUUGACGUUACUCGCAGAAGAAGCACUGGCUAACUCCGUGCC
rnacentral:rRNA from 1 species